rnacentral:rRNA from 1 species
GAUGAACGCUGGCGGCGUGCCUAAUACAUGCAAGUCGAGCGAACGGACGAGAAGCUUGCUUCUCUGAUGUUAGCGGCGGACGGGUGAGUAACACGUGGAUAACCUACCUAUAAGACUGGGAUAACUUCGGGAAACCGGAGAUAAUACCGGAUAAUAUUUUGAACCGCAUGGUUCAAAAGUGAAAGACGGUCUUGCUGUCACUUAUAGAUGCAUCUGCGCUGCAUUAGCUAGUUGGUAAGGUAACGGCUUACCAAGGCAACGAUGCAUAGCCGACCUGAUAGGGUGAUCGGCCGCCCUGGAACUGGGACGCGGUCCAGACUCCUAAGGGAGGCAGCAGUAGGGAAUCUUCCGCAGUGGGCGGAAGCCUGGCGGAGCAACGCCGCGUGAGUGAUGACGGUCUUCGGAUCGUAAAGCUCUGUUAUGAGGGAAGAACAUAUGUGUAAGUAACUGUGCAGAGCUUGACGGUAACUAAUCAGAAAGCCACGGCUAACUACGUG